rnacentral:rRNA from 1 species
GACGAACGCUGGCGGCGUGCCUAAUACAUGCAAGUUGAGCGCUGAAGGUUGGUACUUGUGCCGACUGGAUGAGCAGCGAACGGGUGAGUAACGCGUGGGGAAUCUGCCUUUGAGCGGGGGACAACAUUUGGAAACGAAUGCUAAUACCGCAUAAAAACUUUAAACACAAGUUUUAAGUUUGAAAGAUGCAAUUGCAUCACUCAAAGAUGAUCCCGCGUUGUAUUAGCUAGGUGGUGAGGUAAAGGCUCACCAAGGCGAUGAUACAUAGCCUACCUGCGAGGGUGAUCGGCCACCUUGAGACUGAGACCCGGCCCAAAGUCCUACGGGAGGCAGCAGUAGGGAAUCUUCGGCAAUGGACGAAAGUCUGACCGAGCAACGCCGCGGGAGUGAAGAAGGUUUUCGGAUCGUAAAACUCUGUUGGUAGAGAAGAACGUUGGUGAGAGUGGAAAGCUCAUCAAGUGACGGUAACUACCCAGAAAGGGACGGCUAACUACGUG